AGGUCAACCUCGGGGAAGAUAACCAGCAUCAGGUGGUUUUCCCGGGCGAGGCUCAUCCGUUGCACUCCAGAUGUGCUGACCCCAGCGAUUUCCCCAAAUGUGGAUAAGUCGGUCGCAUAAUUUGUGGCAGUGGGGGACUGUGUUGGUGCUUUCCCCUA